AGAGUUUGAUCAUGGCUCAGGACGAACGCUGGCGGCGUGCCUAACACAUGCAAGUCGAGCGAAGCUUUUAAAGCGGAUCCCUUCGGGGUGAAACUUUAAUUGUCUUAGCGGCGGACGGGUGAGUAACGCGUGAGAAACCUGCCUUUCACAAAGGGAUAGCCUCGGGAAACUGGGAUUAAUACCUUAUGACACUUCUACUUCACAUGAAGAAGAGGUUAAAGCGUAAAGCGGUGAAAGAUGGUCUCGCGUCCCAUUAGCUAGUUGGUGAGGUAAUAGCUCACCAAGGCGACGAUGGGUAGCCGGCCUGAGAGGGUGAACGGCCACACUGGAACUGAGACACGGUCCAGACUCCUACGGGAGGCAGCAGUGGGGAAUAUUGCACAAUGGAGGAAACUCUGAUGCAGCGACGCCGCGUGAACGAUGAAGGCUUUCGGGUCGUAAAGUUCUGUCCUAGGGGACGAUAAUGACGGUACCCUAGGAGGAAGCCCCGGCUAACUACGUGCCAGCAGCCGCGGUAAUACGUAGGGGGCAAGCGUUGUCCGGAUUUAUUGGGCGUAAAGGGUUCGCAGGUGGUCCUUUAAGUCAGAUGUGAAAGAUCACAGCUCAACUGUGGUAAGCAUUUGAAACUGAAGGACUUGAGUUAAGGAGAGGAAAGUGGAAUUCCUAGUGUAGCGGUGAAAUGCGUAGAUAUUAGGAGGAAUACCAGUGGCGAAGGCGACUUUCUGGACUUAUACUGACACUGAGGAACGAAAGCGUGGGGAGCAAACAGGAUUAGAUACCCUGGUAGUCCACGCCGUAAACGAUGAGUGCUAGGUGUUGGGGGUCAAACCUCGGUGCCGCAGCUAACGCAUUAAGCACUCCGCCUGGGGAGUACGUACGCAAGUAUGAAACUCAAAGGAAUUGACGGGGACCCGCACAAGCAGCGGAGCAUGUGGUUUAAUUCGAAGCAACGCGAAGAACCUUACCAGGGCUUGACAUGCCAUUGACCGGUCUAGAGAUAGAUCUUUACCUUCGGGUACAAUGGACACAGGUGGUGCAUGGUUGUCGUCAGCUCGUGUCGUGAGAUGUUGGGUUAAGUCCCGCAACGAGCGCAACCCUUGCCUUUAGUUGCUAACAAGUAAUGUUGAGCACUCUAGAGGGACUGCCGAUGAUAAAUCGGAGGAAGGUGGGGAUGACGUCAAAUCAUCAUGCCCUUUAUGUCCUGGGCUACACACGUGCUACAAUGGUCGGUACAACGAGCAGCUACACAGCGAUGUGAUGCAAAU
rnacentral:rRNA from 1 species